CGUCACCCUGUGGCCACCAGAAGCACAGGCUUAGGAGGAGUACUUCCAGGCUACCGCCAAUGACCCUUCAAAGCUCAAAGGCUCUUCAGUCAGCUUGUGCAGUAAAAGUUACAGGUAUCAACUCCUGGAUACAUCACACUUGAGUCAAAGCCUGAAAAAGCUGAGACAGCAACCCUUGACAGCUCAGAGGAACAUCUUGGAUACAAAUGUGGAGAAAUAGAAGACCUUGAGCUGAAAAUCAUAAGACAAGUAAAUAAGCAAGGGGUACGCAUCUUACUCAGUUCCGUCUCUACCAUUCAGUCAUUUCUACUUUUUCUCUCAAUAU
rnacentral:lncRNA from 10 species